rnacentral:rRNA from 1 species
UUCAAAUUGAGAGUUUGAUCCUGGCUCAGGACGAACGCUGGCGGCGUGCCUAAUACAUGCAAGUCGAGCGAGCUGAAUUCAAAGAUCCUUCGGGGUGAUUUGUUGGAACGCUAGCGGCGGAUGGGUGAGUAACACGUGGGCAAUCUGCCUAAAGACUGGGAUACCACUUGGAAACAGG